rnacentral:lncRNA from 1 species
CUGGAGCCCCUUCAGCCGGAGCUUCACGUCCCUCUACCGCCUCAAGACCCUCUCCUUCUCCCACUUCAUGCGGCUCGUGGUCGACCGCAGUCGCGGAUCCGCGGAGGAGCUCAUCUUUCCCUUGUCCUUCGGCGCAUCCAUCCAAGACCUGGUCUACGUCUCCAUCAAGUGAGUGCAAGUAUGGUCCCUCUUUCUCCUUCUGCCCUCGUCGUCACCCAUGUCCGCCGUGUUCAAUGAACAUCCUCUUCCCCUUCCUCCAAAUUCUCAGAUGCCCACGGUUAAAGUCUCUUGCUUUGCCUGAUAACUUGAUGGUAGAGGAUGAUCUCCGCAUCCCGGAUCUCGUCGGAAGUUGGAGAGAUCUGGAGCAGCUCGAGAUGGAGACCAAACCCUCCUCGUUCCUGCGAGUGAUCGCCGAGAUCGGCCGCGACUGUCCCAAAUUCUCCCGGCUCAAGGUGCGCGGUCUGAUCGACAAGGAAGACGCCAAGGCCAUCGUGGAUCGUCUGCCGCAGCUGAAGCACUUGGAGCUCAGCA